UCUGAUGAGGCCUAUUCCCAUAUAAAUGGGUUCGUAAACCGUCAAAAUUCAAAGUUCUCGUUACUGGGACAGUGAGAAUUUCACACUCAAACGCCAAAACCACUGCUUAGUCCUAAAUUGACAGUAUAGGCUGCAAACUUAAAAUCGGAAAAAUGAUUGAUCAUUUUUUCUUUGAACAUGCGCAGUACAACAUCAUUGUUAAUACCGAACGCUAAGUUGCGUUGUUGGAACGUUUUUUUGGCUCUAGAAUUUUAAAUUACAAGAAUAGUGAAUUCUAGCUAGUGCUACUAUGGAGUCAUUUGACGUGUGACUGACGUUCCCAGGUACACUGAUUUCGAAAAGAGGUGAUAUCCCAUGUAUAUAUCCCCUCGUAGUCCAAAUUUGACGCAGCCUGACUUUUUUUGGGGAUACCUCAAGUCUACAGUAAUAACCCGAAAAACAUCGAUCAGCUGAAAGAGGAUAUCCUCUUUGAGUCCGUUGUGAAAUGGUAGUAAUUACACAAGCAUUACUAAGGAAAGUUCCGUCGUAAAGAAUGUCAUCAUUUAGAUGAUGUUACUUAAAAAAAAAUUGUUAUUACUUUACAA